rnacentral:rRNA from 1 species
CACGUAGGGCGCGAGCGUUGUCCGGAAUUAUUGGGCGUAAAGCGCGCGCAGGCGGUUCGCUCCGUCCGGUGUGAAAUCUCCCGGCUCACCUGGGAGGGGGCGCUGGAGACUGGCGAACUGGAGGCAGGGAGAGGUCGGUGGAAUUCCCGGUGUAGUGGUGAAAUGCGUAGAGAUCCGGAGGAACCCCAGAGGCGAAGGCGGCGCCCUGGCUCGCAACUGACGCUCAGACACGACAGCAUGGGGAGCGAACGGG